GCCGGCGGGCCGCGGCAAGCUUUGAGGAGACGCGUUUGACCCGGGAACAAAGCGACGGGGGUUUAUCUGUGCCCGGCAGCUCGUUCCCGAGCCCGAUGAGCUGGUCCCGCUGUCCCGCCCCUGCUUCCCGCAGUCUCUCUGCUCCCAGACGGGGCUCUCUCCUCCAGCGAAGCUGGCGGUGACCUACCUACGGUUACGGACAAAGUAGGUCUAGGGAAGACUGCAGCUGCCCGGUGGAAUAUUCUUCCAGGUAACCGAGUCAACGCACCAAUCGACCUUUUAGCUGGAUGACCAACUUUCUCCUGGAAAAACCUAGUUAUUUUACUUCAUUACAUGAAACCUUGUCAAAACAGACCUCACGCAAUUAAGCUUCCUCUGGUCUGUGAUCAAAUAUUCAGCGUCAAAUACAACAAAGUUAACAAAUCCCCGACUGCAACGUAUAAAAUACUGAAGAGCAGCCUGAACGAGGCUAGAUCAUUGUGGCCAUAUAAAAGCUAAAUCAACAGGAAUUUGUUUAGGAAAAAAGGUAAAGGGCGACUGUCAUUCCAGUGUGUUACAAUAGCUUUCAAAGUUCUUCACCCCACAGCAUCACUGGAAUUGUGCUACAGGGGACAGCACUCAGACAAGCGGAAGCGAAAGAAUUUGACCUCAAGUCGCCGCACAGGCUAGAAACUGGCCUGUCUGAAGUCAGGGCUUCCACAGAUCCUCCCCCUCCCCAUCUCCUUACCACACAAAACCCUGCUCAGCCAGUGUCGGGGUAACUGAAAGGUACUUCACUGCUCUUCUACAAAGUUUUAAGUCUCAUCACUGGCUAGUCAAGAAACCUGAGACAGAGGAAGAUCUGAGAGGCACCCGGGAGGGCACUUUUCUCCUCAUUAAUCUUUGGUCCUCCCAUCUGGGUCUCUGAACAAAACUGAGUGGUUGCAAGAAAACACAGUCUAUAUCUGAUUGGCAAGAGGAAGUGUCACAAGAUUGAAAAUAGUAUCAGAUAAAGUAAUGAUUUUAGUUAAUAUCAAAUACAAGCUACUUAUAUCCCAAAUAGGUACAGCAAAGGCACAUAAAAAGGCUUACUACAUGGGUUAAAAGCAAAAAUAUUGAAAAUACAGCCAUUUAUAUCAGAAGAAAGUGCGCUCUCACUAGGAAAUGUGGAAUUAAAGUUACAAUUAAGAAACACAAUGACAUACAUUUCUUAACAACAUACAGCACCCUUGGAACCUU